rnacentral:tRNA from 1 species
GAACCUUUGGCGCAGUGGUAGCGCGUGUGAUUCCAGAGAUCCUAGUUCCCUGGAGCAUCCACAAGGUCGUCCGUUCAAUCCGGGCAAGGUUCA